rnacentral:pre_miRNA from 14 species
UUUUGUUAAAAUAUGGCAUUGAAAGAUCUCUGAAGAGAGACCCUUACUCAAGUCUCAGGAAGUCGCGGACCCCAGACACAUAAAGACUA